CGGGCCCCUCCAUCCUCGGGGCUCCCCUCGGCUCGGCGCGGACGCGGGGCCUGGGGCGAUGACUCCGGCGAAUGAAGCUCCCCUCCUCUGCACCAGCCUAGCCCGAGCAGCCCUAUUAGGGACCACGCCGGCUUCCCAACUCUGCGAGCGUCCGGUAACAUCCCUCCCUGCCAGCUCUAACUUUAGGACUCAGAGCCAUUUGACUGAACUCUACAGCUCCUUACCAAGUGGCCACCUGGCCCCGAAGGGAUCACAAGGACACUCGGAACAGAGGGGCCAACCGAAGCAAGGAGGGCAACGUGGGACAGGAAGGUUGAGGAAAGAUCCACUUGGGCCAGCAGAGUGCUUGGAGGCAGGGAGCACUGGCAGGAAAGCCAAUUGACUUGUGAGGAGGUGUGGCUUCGUUCAGGGGACAGGGGAGGCCGUGUCCAUGUUUGAGCAGAGGAGUAGGAUCCAUGGAGCUGAACUUCUGGAAAUCGAUAGAGCUGUGUCUAGUGCAGAUCUGAAGAAGUAAGAAGAGAGCGUGGUGGGGAGGCUGCUGGUCUCUCCCCCUGGGUGUGCCCUGGCUCCUUGUCCUGCCUGCUUAACAUUUGCUCCUGUUGUUCUCACCCGCUGGGUCUGUGCGCCUUCAGAAUAGGGACAGUGUCUAGCAUGACACGGGCCCGUGGAAGUCUCACGCGAAGCACAAAUGUGAGCCGCGUGUGCAAUUUUCAAAUCUCAAGCGGCCACAUUAAAACAUAGUAAAAAGAGGUAGGCGAAACCCAGUAUUUCAAUCAGUACAUUCAAAAUAUCAUUUUAAUAUGUAAUCGGUACUAAAAAUUAUUAAUGAAAGAUUUAGCAUUCUUUUUUCGCAUGAAAUUCUCAGGCUCACGGGGUGUAUUUUGUGCUCAGAGUGCAUUUCAAUUUGAGCUAGCCGAAAUUUAAAUAACACCCACAGGCAACUAGUUGUGACCAUGUGGAGUAAAGAUACAGUGCCUGGCACCUAGUGGGCACUCAAUAAAUAUGGUGAAGGAAUAAAUGAGGGAAUGGGU
rnacentral:lncRNA from 12 species